AAGAUGUCCCAGGUAGAAUGCCCAGUAUCAGUAAUACUUUUUUUUUGCUUGGUGUCUAUCUUUGCAGGUGAAAGAAGAGACCUGACCAGAAGAGUCCAGCUUUCUCAGUUUUGCCAAAGAUAUCUCAGAUUAAAGCAUUGACGUUGCACAUGUCUCUUGAGCAUGAAAGAUUGUUGAGAGAAGUCUGACUUGUGGGGUAACUUUUCACCAUGCAGGAGACUAAAAAUGGUCUGGCUGAUCUACAGCUCACACAUGUUGGUAAUUAAAGCAUCACUUAUUUGAUGCACCUGGCUGAACUCUUGAGUGGAACACAGAAAGUGGAAAGUUACUCUGUCUGCAUGGUAUUUUACUCCAAAAGAGAAGUAGCAAAAAUGGGAAUGAAUUUCAAAGACAAACAUUUGAGGAAUUAUGGAGACCCUGAGCAAAAAGUUAACAACCAUUCCCUUGGAAGAUGCUGCACAGUAAUCACUUUGUGUUGCAACAGCUCCGUUGGAUUGUCCUGCUCAGCUCUUCAGGAAUUUUUGGAGGGAUUUCUUUGGUUUCUGAAACUAGUAUAAAGGUAAUGAAGCUUUUUAUCUAAUAAAAUAACAGCAAUUAAAAUUCA
rnacentral:lncRNA from 1 species